GGCUCUGAUGGCUUAGUGGUUAGAGCGUCCGCCUCGGAUGCGGGAGGUCGCGGGAUCGAAACCCGGCCGUGUCAUACCA